rnacentral:rRNA from 1 species
GCUAAUCUCACUAGAGAGUCCUUAUUAAUAGUGAGGUUUGGCACCUCGAUGUUGGCUUAGGGAAUCUAUGCGGCGCAAAAGUCACAUACAGAUGGUUUGUUCAACCUAUAAUACCCUACAUGAGCUGAGUUCAGACCGGCGUAAGCCAGGUUAGUUUCUAUCCUCGAUUACUCAAUCUAUUUAUAGUACGAAAGGACCUAAAUAAGAAUAAUAAUUAUUUUUCUAGAAUACAUAUAAAAUAAAUUUAAGAAUUAAACCCAUAAACUAUG